CCCCCGAGCUUUUCAGAGACCCGCUCGAGGUUUUCUGAGCCGCCCCAGCCCCUGUGACUGUCGCUCGCGUGCCUCUUUUUCUUCCUCAGCCGAGCUGGGCGGGAAGAAGGCAGGGGGAAGAACGGGGAGGUCAGUCCGGCGUCGUGAGGGGGGCUCGUCGUCCUCCCCUCACUCCCCCUGAGGUUGGCGUGGAGCAGAGAAGCUGCAGUGAGCGAGCGCCUGACGCCUCCUGCAGCCACCGGGGGGCCACGGAGGGAAGUGGGGCUCGGGCCACCUGCUGCCCUCGGAAUCGCAGAAUCGAAAAGACAGCCCAUUUCACUGGAGCUAUGAACGGAAGCGUGAACUCUGGGAAGGACUGAUCACAAUCCAUCAAUAUUUGGAUUAAUUGGAGCCCAAUCCAGUCCACACCUUCUGCAUCACCACGACCCUGGUUGUCUUCUGAAAAAUUUCACUUCCCCACAUCUUUUAAAAGUAUUUUUGAUGGUUUUUUUUCAGAGGUUGCCACCACAUCAGUGAAAAAAUGAGUGGGAAGAAAACCAGAAGGUUCCUAAAUAUUUUCCUCCAGGAAUGAACGAACGCAAUGGUCCAUAUGAACUGAAAAACAACAACCUCUAGAAGAUUAUAAUCUUUUUUACCAUCAAAGCCUGCCAGAGCAGCAUGAAAAGGGGGACUUGCCUGAUCAAAUCAAAAUAGUUUCUCCCGUGAAGAAAUUCCUGCUGAUGUCCCACCUGAACUUCCCCUGGCAUAGCCUGAGGCCAUUUCCUCUUGUCCUGUUGCUGGAAACCCUUGGCUCGAGAGCAGAAGGGCUGCAGAGAAAUUGCCGAAACUCUGGGCUAAUUACGGCUGUUAGAGAGAUCUUGUCAUUUUCACCUUUCCCCCCCGGACAUUCUUCUUCCGCUAUGUGUAUGUUGUAAAUAUGUUAGAUAUGCUUUGUAUCAGUCAUGUAUAA